rnacentral:rRNA from 1 species
GUGCACCAGUCGCGAAACCUUCGCAAUGCGGGAAACCGCGACGAGGGGACUCCCAGUGCCUACGCUCAGCGUAGGCUGUUCCCGAGCCUAGAAAGCUCGGGGAGUAAGGGCUGGGUAAGACGGGUGCCAGCCGCCGCGGUAAUACCCGCAGCCCGAGUGGUGGCCACUAUUAUUGGGCCUAAAGCGUCCGUAGCCGGCCCGGUAAAUGCCUGGGUAAAUCGUGAGGCCUAACCUCACGAAUUCCGGGUAGACUGCCGGGCUAGGGACCGGAGGAGGGAGAGGGGUACUCCAGGGGUAGGGGUGAAAUCCUGUAGUCCCUGGAGGACCACCGGUGGCGAAGGCGCUCUCCUAGGACGGGUCCGACGGUGAGGGACGAAAGCCAGGGGAGCGAACCGGAUUAGAUACCCCUGUAGU